GUGGUUUGUUCCCUUCAGCACAUGUACCAAAAUUGGAACAGUACAAAGAAUAUCAGUGUGGCUCCUGCACAAGGAUGACAGGAAAUUUGUAAAGCACUCUAUAUUUUA
ensembl:snRNA U6 U6 spliceosomal RNA